rnacentral:rRNA from 1 species
UACGUAGGGGGCAAGCGUUGUCCGGAAUCAUUGGGCGUAAAGAGCGUGUAGGCGGCUUCGUAAGUCCGUUGUGAAAGUCCAGGGCUCAACCCUGGAAUGCCGAUGGAUACUGCGGAGCUAGAGUCCGGAAGAGGCGAGUGGAAUUCCUGGUGUAGCGGUGAAAUGCGCAGAUAUCAGGAGGAACACCAAUGGCGAAGGCAGCUCGCUAGGACGGUACUGACGCUGAGGCGCGAAAGCUAGGGGAGCGAACGGG